rnacentral:lncRNA from 1 species
UGGGAACUGCUCAUACGUGGAGGGGCAGGAUACGGAGUCUUCUGCUCCCGGAUGAGACCCCCCCCCCCCAGAGAUGGCCAGGGGAGAAGACCUCAGGAUGGACGUCCAUUCGUGGAGGGGGCUCCCGUAGCAGACAGGGGAAGUUGCCACACAAUCUGAUGCCAGUUCUUCUCGGGACCCACCCACCACCUCUCAUUGCUCCAGCCCCGGUAACCAGUUGAGACCUACAGAGCCCAGGUGACAAGGCAUCAGAGUUCUCUGGGGGAGAUGGCACACACAGGGAGGGAACCCCAGCUCCGCUCCAGCCUGCACCAGCAGGGGCCUGGGACAAGCAUGGGAGUAGAACCUAAGAGUACUGGACCAAAUGGGAUGGAAUAACUCUUGAUGAGGCUGAAAUCUUUGACACAGAUGCCCUCACCCGGGAUUUACUUGUUGGCUCAAGCCCUGAGAGUGUGGUUAAUAAUCUUCCAGGUUGACUAAUUGAAGCCUGAACAAGGAUGGUUUGGAAUUAAUGAGGUCAAAACUGCUUGAAAUCUCUGGCCUGCUGUACAGGAUGGAGGUCAAAGGCUCAGGGAAAUAGAACUGGAGAAAUGGAUCAAUUGUUUGCAGCUGACUCAGGCACUCCCUAAUCAUAGGCAAUCCCUCUCUCCUGAGGGGGCCCGGAGGGCCCUGACAAUUGCACGGGUGAGUUGGUCAACAGCUCUCGGGGCUGUCCUCCGCAGGCUGGAGGUCACGCUGGGGAGCACAGCACAGACACCAAAUUCCCCAUCUCAGCAGGAAUGAUGGGAGCCCAGAGUGGGGUGGGAGCAGCCAUCAGCCACCAGGGCCAGGGGCAGCCUGAGGCCUCAGGAAGGCACACAGAAUGCCCAGCAGUAGUAUCUGGACCCACCGGCAUCUGUGUUGCUGGCUCCUUGCUCAUGGGGUCCCUGGACUUGAAAGAGAUGCCUGCUAAGGGCUGCUCGACAUUUGUAGGUAUGAAAAUCCCAGGUCUGCUAAGAGAAACUACCUCGUGGCUGCUCCCCAGUCCCCAGACCUAAGCCACUUCCCACCCCAGUGCACACCUUUCUGGACAAUUCCUUUAUUAAGUACUCCCUUGAAUGACCCAAGUUGAAGAAUGCCGCCUGUUUCCUGCUGGGAUCCCCAUCUGAGAGGGCAAUGCCUUCACGGGCCUUUCAUGUCGCUGGGUGUGAUGGUCAUUACGGACGCAAUUAUCAAAAUCAAUACAUCAGGGGGUUCUCCUCCCCAGAGACGGGUGGGACAAGGAAAAGUCACCCAGAGAGAAUCCAGUUACAACAGAAACCAAAGUUCAAAGGAAAUAGUGAGAAAUAGGGUUUGAUUUAGACUCUGUCUUGAUAAAUUAAACUGAAAAUUAUGGACAUGGGUUAGUUUUACCUUGGAUUUACCAAAAGGUAAAUUUAUGCAAAAUUGCAGCUU